rnacentral:rRNA from 1 species
GAUGAACGCUGGCGGCGUGCCUAAUACACGCAAGUCGAGCGAACAGACGAGGAGCUUGCUCCUCUGACGUUAGCGGCGGACGGGUGAGUAACACGUGGAUAACCUACCUAUAAGACUGGGAUAACUUCGGGAAACCGGAGCUAAUACCGGAUAAUAUAUUGAACCGCAUGGUUCAAUAGUGAAAGACGGUUUUGCUGUCACUUAUAGAUGGAUCCGCGCCGCAUUAGCUAGUUGGUAAGGUAACGGCUUACCAAGGCAACGAUGCGUAGCCGACCGGAGAGGGGGGUCGGCCACACUGGAACGGAGCCACGGUCCAGACUCCUACGGUAGGCAGCAGUAGGGAAUCUUCCGCAAUGGGCGAAAGCCUUACGGAGCAACGCCGCGUGAGUGAUGAAGGUCUUCGGAGCGUAAAACUCUGUUAUUAGGUAAGAACAAAUGUGUAAGUAACUAUGCACGUCUUGACGGUACCUAAUCAGAAAGCCACGGCUAACUACGUG